GGAAAAAUGGGGGGCAGGCUAACACAUGCAAGUCGAGCGGAAACGAGUUAACUGAACCUUCGGGGAACGUUAACGGCGUCGAGCGGCGGACGGGUGAGUAAUGCCUGGGAAAUUGCCCUGAUGUGGGGGAUAACCAUUGGAAACGAUGGCUAAUACCGCAUAAUAGCCCGGUUCUUCGGAAUGGGUCUCAAAGAGGGGGACCUUUUAGGCCUCUCGCGUCAGGAUAUGCCCAGGUGGGAUUAGCUAGUUGGUGAGGUAAUGGCUCACCAAGGCGACGAUCCCUAGCUGGUCUGAGAGGAUGAUCAGCCACACUGGAACUGAGACACGGUCCAGACUCCUACGGGAGGCAGCAGUGGGGAAUAUUGCACAAUGGGCGCAAGCCUGAUGCAGCCAUGCCGCGUGUAUGAAGAAGGCCUUCGGGUUGUAAAGUACUUUCAGCAGUGAGGAAGGUGGGUAUGUUAAUAGCAUACACAUUUGACGUUAGCUGCAGAAGAAGCACCGGCUAACUCCGUGCCAGCAGCCGCGGUAAUACGGAGGGUGCGAGCGUUAAUCGGAAUUACUGGGCGUAAAGCGCAUGCAGGUGGUUUGUUAAGUCAGAUGUGAAAGCCCGGGGCUCAACCUCGGAAUUGCAUUUGAAACUGGCAAACUAGAGUACUGUAGAGGGGGGUAGAAUUUCAGGUGUAGCGGUGAAAUGCGUAGAGAUCUGAGGGAAUACGGGUGGCGAAGGCGGCCCCCAUGGACAGAUACUGACACUCAGAAGCCAAAAGCUUGGGGGAGCAAAACAGGGAUUAGAUACCUCUGGCUAGUCCCACGCCCGUAAAACGAUCGUCUCACCUGGGAGGGCUGUUGUCCUUUGAAGCCGUUG
rnacentral:rRNA from 1 species